CAAAAAUUCUCCACCUUGUGAGUGUGGAAAUAAAAUGAAAAAAUUGGAAGAAGAGGUGCAACAAAUGAAAAACUUAACUUGUGAGCUACAUGUGAAGAUGGAUAAACUGUUAGAGAAAGCAUUUCCGAAAUCUACAAGCCUGGACAUAUUUCAAAUAAAAAGCGUUGAAGAAAUGGAACAUUUUGAGGAAAAUGCUGAAAUGUUUCCAACAAAUUACGUAGAAAGUUAACUAUUUGUAGCAUUAAAGAAUGUAUAGGUUCAACACCUAUUACAAAAUCUUUACAAUUUAUCAUCACAAAAGAGUGCUUGUUAGCGUACAAUUGGGAUGGGCUGCAGAAGAAAAAAUCAUUAAAAAAACCAACUUAUUUGGAAAAUUUGUGUUUGAUGCUCUGAAGUCCUUCGAAUACGGCUUCCCAAAUUACGAAAAUUAUACAUAUUAAAAAAUCGAUACAAUUAAUAAAAAAUAGGGUGUAUAAAAAAACCUACGAUAAUA